rnacentral:rRNA from 1 species
GACGAACGCUGGCGGCGUGCUUAACACAUGCGAGUCGAGCGGUAAGGCCCUUCGGGGUACACGAGUGGCGAACGGGUGAGUAACACGUGGGUGAUCUGCCCUGCGCUUCGGGAUAAGCCUGGGAAACUGGGUCUAAUACCGGAUAGGACUCCGGACUGCAUGGUCUGGGGUGGAAAGCUUUUGCGGUGUGGGAUGGGCCCGCGGCCUAUCAGCUUGUUGGUGGGGUGAUGGCCUACCAAGGCGACGACGGGUAGCCGGCCUGAGAGGGUGACCGGCCACACUGGGACUGAGAUACGGCCCAGACUCCUACGGGAGGCAGCAGUGGGGAAUAUUGCACGAUGGGCGCAAGCCUGAUGCAGCGACGCCGCGUGAGGGAUGACGGCCUUCGGGUUGUAAACCUCUUUCAGCAUCGACGAAGCGAAAGUGACGGUAGGUGCAGAAGAAGGACCGGCCAACUACGUGCCAGCCGCCGCCGUAA